AGCAGCCGCGGUAAUUCCAGCUCCAAUAGCGUAUAUUAAAGUUGUUGCAGUUAAAAAGCCCGUAGUUGAAUUUCGGGGUCUGUCCGUCGGUCGGGCUUCACGGUCCGUACUGGUGUGAUGGGUUCCUACCUUCUGAAUAAUCGGCAUGCCAUUCAGUUGGUGCGCCGGGGAAGCAGAGCUAUUACCUUGAAAAAAUUAGAGUGCUUAAAGCAGGCUAGUGCUUGAAUAGAUUAGCAUGGAAUAAUAAAAUAGGACGGCAUGGUUCUAUUUUGUUGGUUUCUAGGAUCACCGUAAUGAUUAAUAGGGAUAGUUGGGGGCAUUAGUAUUCAAUUGUCAGAGGUGAAAUUCUUGGAUUUUAUUGAAGACUAACUUCUGCGAAAGCAUUUGCCAAGGAUGUUUUCAUUAAUCAAGAACGAAAGUUAGGGGAUCGAAGACGAUCAGAUACCGUCGUAGUCUUAACCAUAAACUAUGCCGACUAGGGAUCGGACGAUGUUAAUUUUUAAUG
rnacentral:rRNA from 1 species